AACAUUUACCAGCACACUGCUGGUCACAGCCCUGCUCAAGAGUGGCCUUGAAACAAGUGGAAAAAGGAAAUUCUCCUAAUGCCAGAGUUUUGGGUGAUGUACCUAGGCACCCACUUUAUGUGGAAACAGAAGUGGUCAGAUAAGUAUAUACACGGACUCAAGGACAGUGAAAAAUGGCUUGGCCAGCAGUCUGGAAGGAGGAAGAUUGGAAGGUUGGGGACUAGGAGGUCCGCAGAAAGGCAUAUGGAUGGACUUGUAGAAGGGGGUACUGAGUGUGAAGAUCCUUGGAUGCAUGCUAAUACCCACCCGAGAGCAUCCACUGUGGAGGGAGACAAACCACCAAGCAGCCAGAAUGACUCAGCCAGUUGAUGUUAGCCAGCCUCAGACACGGGCCACUCCAGUGCUGGCACAGUGGGCCCAUGAAUGAAGUAGUCAUGGUGGCCUGGAUGGAGGCCAUGUAUGGGCCCAAAAGCUUGGGCUCCCACUCAUUUUGGCUGAUUAGCUACUGCCAUUGAAUGACCAUGUGACCAUGAAAUCUCUUAAUCCUAUCACCACACUUCUGACAAGCUGCUGGCCUGAUUGAGCAAUGGCAUGUCUGUUGAAGGCACAUCUGAGGCACUAUCUCAUAGAUGAUAGCUGUGAAGACAGAGCACCAUUUUCUAGGGCAUAGUAUACCACCCAAUGACUUUGUAGACAAAAAGAAGAGUCAUCAUCCUGACAGGGGUAAUUGACCAUGAUCUUCAGCACAAGGUACUGCUCUGUUAUACGAUGCGGGCAGAGAGGCAUGAGUUUGGCAUCCAGAUGUUGAUCCUGAGAGCGCUUCCUAAUGAACUUUCUGCAUGCUGACCUCCAUUUCAAAGUCUGCUUCCUGGGGAAACCUGAAACAGGAGUAGAGGCUAGCAGCUGCCCAGAAGAACCAGAUCGGCCAUUGUCCUUGCCAGAUCUGAUCUUUGAGCAGAUGGCCACCUCUCACACUGCUCACUUGUACAUCCAGAUCUCAGGCUGACUCUGCCCCACUGAUGAUGGUGAUAGCCAAGUGCAGCUCCAAGUCUACAUACCACCAUUUAAUCAACUCCACUGGAAAGUAAGAAUGCCUCUUUUCGAAUAAGUCCAGCUGAGUUCUCUGGCUAACUUUCUUGAGCUCAACUUGGUUCACAAGCCUGUUCCUGAAACGCUUCACUGUGGCUGAGAAGUUGAAUAGGCUGAUUUGCCAGUAUGAGUGUACUGCUGGAAAUGGGGAGGACUGAGUACAACAGAGAACUGUACGAGGUCUCCAGCUGACAGGGCCGUGCAGUUCUGGCUAUUUGCUGGGCAAGCCUGGUGUUCUGGUGCCAGGCAUGGGCUUCAUCUGCCUGGAGGAUGGGCUAUAUGUUUCUAAUAUGCACAAUAGCAUCCCAUGGACUAGUUGUGGCCCCAGAGCCAUGGGUGUGAACCACUUGGACUUUGAACCGGGGAGUCCUCUGGGUGAAAAACAGGUGCUGUAUCUAGGGAAAACGGACACAGCACAGCAGAACUAUCAGAUGUACACUACAGAAGAAACGCCAUUACACUCCUGCCAUUAGUGUAAUUCUGAAUGUCUUGCUGUGUAGAUCCCACUCAACUCAAUUUAAAUCUACUCAGCUCAAUCCAAUCCAACAAUUAUGGAUCCCUUAUUAUAGGCCCCAAAGUGUGUGCGUGUGUGUGUGUGUGUGUGUGUGUGUGUUGGGUAGGUGGGUAAGGAGGCACUACCAAAAAAAAAAAACAAAGAAAGAAAGGACAGAAGAGACCUAAGGAGCAU
ensembl:lncRNA